GACCAAACUGUCCUUCUCCCUGAACAUCAUCAGCUUCUUCUGUUAGUUCCUGGGAUUGUAGGCCUGAUCAUUACUCUGAUGGUCAUGACUCUGCAUGAUGGCGCUCUUCUUGAUCUACUGGUUGAGUAAAGCUGUAUGCAGGGAACAUUUCAACACCUUGCCCAUCAUCAUGCUGAAACGGGAGGACUGAAAUGAUCAAC